rnacentral:rRNA from 1 species
AACGAACGCUGGCGGCAUGCCUAACACAUGCAAGUCGAACGAGAUCUUCGGGUCUAGUGGCGCACGGGUGCGUAACGCGUGGGAAUCUGCCCUUUGGUUCGGAAUAAUAGUUGGAAACGACUGCUAAUACCGGAUGAUGACGAAAGUCCAAAGAUUUAUCGCCAGAGGAUGAGCCCGCGUAGGAUUAGCUAGUUAGUGUGGUAAAGGCGCACCAAGGCGACGAUCCUUAGCUGGUCUGAGAGGAUGAUCAGCCACACUGGGACUGAGACACGGCCCAGACUCCUACGGGAGGCAGCAGUGGGGAAUAUUGGACAAUGGGCGAAAGCCUGAUCCAGCAAUGCCGCGUGAGUGAUGAAGGCCUUAGGGUUGUAAAGCUCUUUUACCCGGGAUGAUAAUGACAGUACCGGGAGAAUAAGCUCCGGCUAACUCCGUGCCAGCCGCCGCAGUAA